AGAUCAAUAGUUUAAAAAAAAUAUUAAUUUUGUAAAUUAAAGAUAUAUUUUAUUUACAAUAUUUUAUCUA
rnacentral:tRNA from 1 species